UGGCUCAGACGGUAAAGUGUCUGCCUGCAAUGCAGGAGACCCAGGUUCAAUCCCUGG
rnacentral:tRNA from 1 species